CAACCCUCAAGCUUAGCUUGGUCUUGGGCAGUGCCGGUAACGGCUUGCCUUAAAAUCAGUGGCGGUGCCAUUUGAGCUCUACGCGUAGUAAUUUAAACCCUCGCGAUUGAGUCUUGAUGGAUGCUUGCCAGCAACCCUCAUUUUUAU
rnacentral:misc_RNA from 1 species